rnacentral:lncRNA from 1 species
GUUAUUUUAAACCUUAACGUUGCUGAUAUGCCUGUCACUUUAUGAGGAAGAGAUUUUCUUUCUGCUCUGAGACUUAAAUUAACAACUGAGAAUGUCUAUUGUGAUUCUAAUGAUUCUUCUCCUGGAUGGAAAUUAAUGAAAAAAUUAGGAUAGCAAAAACAAACAGGUUUAGGAAAAAAUAAUCAAGGCAUAAAGAACCUAUGAACUUGCCCAUUAAGCUUAAUAAACAUGGACUAGGAUUUGAUGAGGAUUUUUAAUAGGGGCCGUUGAAAAUUACUCUGUUCUUUGGGCCUCGGUUCAGGCUGGUGAGACACGUCAAAAACAAUUGUUUGGAAGCUUUUGCCGUUUGGGGCUUUCCACAACGUAUUAAAACUGAUAAUGGUCCUGCUUAUGCUAGUAAGGCUUUUGCUGAAUUUUGUCAAAUUUGGGGUAUUUUAACAUGUCACUGACAUCCUUUAUAAUCCCCAAGGACAAGCUCUAGCAGAAUUGAGGUAGAAUGCUUAUUGCAGGUAGUCGGUGUAGGAGCAAGGGCUUUCUUUGAUAUGGCCAGUGAUUAAUAUUUGUGGCUUAAGAGCUCCAGGGAGUAACAUCCCCACAGGCCUUGUUUACUAUAGGGAGUGUUCCUAUGCCCAGAUGCACAUUAAUCCCUAAUCCCCUGUGACUCAGUUUACGGGAAGAAAAGGGCAAAGAAACUGUGAGACUUAUGAGACAUUUCCACCCCUAGGACCUUAUUGGACAAGGACUGAUGCGGGUAAUUGAGCAAGGCCAAUGGGAGAAAAAAACUGCAUCUUUCUGAACCCCAUGUUGGUACCCUCCCCACCUUUAAGUGAUAAAAACCCCUAUAGGACAAUAGAGAAUGGGGGCUCUUCUCUCCCCUCCCAGCAACACUAGGAGCUAUUUGCUUUCCUUUAAUAAAGACUUUGUAGGAGUUCCCAUCAUGGCACAGCAGAAAUGAAUCCGACUCAGAACCAUGAGGUUGCGGAUUUGAUCCCUGCCCUUGCUCAGUGGGUUAACGAUCUGGCGUUGCCUGAGCUGUGGUGUAGGUCGCAGACGCGGCUCGGAUCCUGCGUUGCUGUGGCUCUGGCGUAGGCCGGUGGCUACGGCUCCGAUUAGACCCCUAGCCUGGGAACCUCCACAUGCUGUGGGAGCAGCCCAAGAAAUGGCAAAAAAAAGACCUUAUGUUACUUUCCACAGUAUGGCCAGCGUAUUCCUGGUACCUGCGCAUUAGUGUACCGGAAAACAUCUGAGGAGAAUACGUGGACAGACCCUGAUCCUUUAAUAACUUGGGGAAGAGGUUAUGCUUGUGUCUUUCCAGAAACAGUGGCUACACCUUUUUGGAAUCCUGGCAGGUGUGUGAAACUGGCAUGGAAGAAGACCAACCGGGACACGCGCCUUCCGACGAAUGAACUGGGAGCCUGGGGUCUGUACAAUGCUCCAUUUUAUAAGCCAGGCUUCCCCUGACAGGUCUUACUUGACAUGGCCUUUAAGGUCUCAGGGAAGAGGCUUGUAAGUAUUGAGGGAAAUUUUUUCCGACCCUAAAGGAACAAAGUCAUCCUCUAGGAACUAGCCCGUGCCUUUGAGAUGCAAAUGUCUUACCUGACCUUCUGAAAUCCUUCUCUCACCAUCUUUUUGAAAUACAAAUUUCAGGAAAAGGGUCUAAGUUGGAAGUUGAAUUCUCAGGGACAAAGAAGUCCUAUGUCUUGUUCAUAAGCAUUAUUAAAAGGGGGGGUUAGCCAUCUAGACAGGUGACAAUGAUUUAUUCCAUCUGCCAGAAACCCAGUUUGAACCCAGUGUCUCUUGUAACUGACAGGUUUUAUACAGAUGUACCUUAUUCAUGGCUGAAACUUCGAAAUGGGAAAUAUGAGGUCUCUGUUUUGCUUGUUUGUACAUGUCUUUGUGUGUGUUAUGUAUGUAUGGCAUUGCCAAAAUUAAUUCUUAAAAGAGCUCAACUUAAUUGGCUUAAAGGAAAUUAAGCACUUACAUAAAUUCUCAAAAUACAUAAGGUAAAUUUUUGGUUCAUGUGAACUGGAAAAUACUCAGUAUUUGAUAUUCAUUUUUAGAUGUUAAUAUUGAAAUUAAAAUUUGUUUUUUUACUUUUAUUUUUUUGUUUUAGGGCCACACCCGAGGCAUAUGGAAUUUCCCUGGUGUGGGGUCUAAAUCCGCUGUGGCUGCUGGCCUAAACCACAGCCACAGUAACAUGGGAUCUGAGCCUGCAACCUACACCACGGCUCACAGCAGUGCUGGAUCCUUAACCCACUGAGUAAGGCCAGGGAUCGAACCUG